rnacentral:lncRNA from 1 species
AAGUUAUCCAAGAAUACUAUUCACAUUCAGUUUAGCAGCACGGUACAGAUAUUUUUCGUCUGCCCUGUCUCUCACAGAAAAUUCUAAAUCUUCUGUUUUUGCUUCCAUUUCAACACGGGUCACUCUAGACUUAUAAUUUAUGUCUAUAAGUCCAAUAAAAAUAGUAUCCCACACUAUUUUUAUUUAUUUCCACUUUUACAUUUAAAAUCCGGUACCUUACACUCACCAACUCAAUUUACAGCUGGAGUACCGAUACCAGCCCGAUGUUGUACCGGUACUCAGUAUCAAUUAUCGCAACCCGAGAGCAGCAGUUCGAAAAAAUACACUGGGGUACCGGUACUCCCCUGCAUGGUACCGGUACUCAAUACUGAAACCUACACUUUGCAGACUUCAAUAUCAAACUCUGCUCCGCAUCGCAUUGAAUCCGUUUUGCGUCUAUUUCGCGCCAAAACGACUCGGACUUGUCCAGACACUCUCCAGAUGUGUCGACAAGCCUCAGAUGCUGAAAUCUCACGGGCAACCAAACGCCUGGGAUACUACAAUAUAAUAAUAGUUA